CUCCCAAACCCCUGUGAACAUACCACUUGUUGCCUCGGCGGAUCAGCCCGCUCCCGGUAAAACGGGACGGCCCGCCGGAGGACCCCUAAACUCUGUUUCUAUAUGUAACUUCUGAGUAAAACCAUAAAUAAAUCAAAACUUUCAACAACGGAUCUCUUGGUUCUGGCAUCGAUGAAGAACGCAGCAAAAUGCGAUAAGUAAUGUGAAUUGCAGAAUUCAGUGAAUCAUCGAAUCUUUGAACGCACAUUGCGCCCGCCAGUAUUCUGGCGGGCAUGCCUGUUCGAGCGUCAUUUCAACCCUCAAGCACAGCUUGGUGUUGGGACUCGCGUUAAUUCGCGUUCCUCAAAUUGAUUGGCGGUCACGUCGAGCUUCCAUAGCGUAGUAGUAAAACCCUCGUUACUGGUAAUCGUCGCGGCCACGCCGUUAAACCCCAACUUCUGAAUGUUGACCUCGGAUCAGGUAGGAAUACCCGCUGAACUUAAGCAUAUC
rnacentral:rRNA from 1 species